GACCUCCCAAUUCUUACCACAGGCUGUGUUCUUUACACUGACUGUAUAGAAAGAGGAGGUACAGUAAAUGCAACCUAUAUAACCUCAACCCAGGCCCUUUGCCUCAUCUGUAUUGUGAAUUGGGUACAAAAAU